AACGAACGCUGGCGGCAGGCUUAACACAUGCAAGUCGAACGCCCCGCAAGGGGAGUGGCAGACGGGUGAGUAACGCGUGGGAACAUACCCUUUCCUGCGGAAUAGCUCUGGGAAACUGGAAUUAAUACCGCAUACGCCCUACGGGGGAAAGAUUUAUCGGGGAAGGAUUGGCCCGCGCUGGAUUAGCUAGUUGGUGGGGUAAAGGCCUACCAAGGCGACGAUCCAUAGCUGGUCUGAGAGGAUGAUCAGCCACAUUGGGACUGAGACACGGCCCAAACUCCUACGGGAGGCAGCAGUGGGGAAUAUUGGACAAUGGGCGCAAGCCUGAUCCAGCCAUGCCGCGUGAGUGAUGAAGGCCUUAGGGUUGUAAAGCUCUUUCACCGAUGAAGAUAAUGACGGUAGUCGGAGAAGAAGCCCCGGCUAACUUCGUGCCAGCCGCCGCGGUAAAAC
rnacentral:rRNA from 1 species